rnacentral:rRNA from 1 species
UACGGAGGGGGCUAGCGUUGUUCGGAAUUACUGGGCGUAAAGCGCGCGUAGGCGGAUCUGCAAGUCGGGGGUGAAAUCCCGAGGCUCAACCUCGGAACUGCCUUCGAUACUGCGGGUCUCGAGUCCGGGAGAGGUGAGUGGAAUUCCUAUUGUAGAGGUGAAAUUCGUAGAUAUUAGGAAGAACACCAGUGGCGAAGGCGGCUCACUGGCCCGGUACUGACGCUGAGGCGCGAAAGCGUGGGGAGCAAACAGG